rnacentral:rRNA from 1 species
UACGUAGGGUGCGAGCGUUGUCCGGAAUUAUUGGGCGUAAAGGGCUCGUAGGCGGUUUGUCGCGUCGGGAGUGAAAACCUUGGGCUUAACUCAGGGCUUGCUUUCGAUACGGGCAGACUAGAGGUAUGCAGGGGAGAACGGAAUUCCAGGUGUAGCGGUGAAAUGCGCAGAUAUCAGGAGGAACACCGGUGGCGAAGGCGGUUCUCUGGGCAUGAUCUGACGCUGAGGAGCGAAAGUGUGGGGAGCGAACAGG